AUUUUUUUCCUAUUAGGUCAACAUACGGCACGUGCCAGUAGAGAAAAUAUCCGCGCCUCCAAUCAAAACGCUCCUCCCCACAAAUUUAUAUUUUUCGAAACACCGAGGCGCCAAUUUUGGUCACUUCUCCCGCCCCAUUCCCCCACCGCCCUUUAUUUCCUCCCACCAUUUCCACCAUUUUACCAAACCCUCUUCUACCUUUCCUUCUUUACUCCCCCUAACUUAGUGUGAGCGAGUUUCACCUACGCGCCGCUAGAUGCAGGGCCACCUACCCCACCCCGCCACCCCCAUUUCCGACGCCGCUUUCCUCAUCAAACGAGGCAAGAAGCGUGGGAGCUACAACUGCGGCCGCUGCGGCGUGCCGAAGAAGGGCCACAAGUGCCCUCUAACCCCCGAAAACGACGAUGGAUCUACUCCCGUUUCUACGCCUUCAUCCGCCGCAGUCACCUCAUCUAUCGCCGCCACGCUCAGCUCCGCUUCGGCGGCGUCGGCGUCGGUGAAGAUGGUGACCACUCCGGUGGUUCGUCCUACGCCGCCGCCGAGUCGACGGCGAGCUCUUUCGUUCGAUGACGUCGGCGUGGCUGAUUCGAUCGAUGAGUUGGAUGAUGAGGAGCCGUUUGAGUUUGAGGAGGACCCCGAUCUGUAUAGGUCGGGGAAGCUUCCGGCGAGUUGUUUAUGGGAGGUUUUGAAGAGAUUGCCGCCGGUGGGGCUGCUGUCGGCGGCGAAGGUGUGUAGGGGGUGGAGGGAGACGACGAGGAAGCUCUGGCGUGCGUCCGAGGAGCUCCGGCUCAGGGUUCCGGCGAAGGCCCAGAUCGGAUUCGUCGGAUCCGUGUUGCAGAAAUGCCCUGGACUUUUAACCCUAUCUCUUAGAAUUGAAAGUGAUGUCGAUGCAACAAUGCUGGCCUGCAUUGCCUUCUCUUGCCCUAAUUUGCAGUCCUUGGAGAUCUUUACAUCCGAUUCUUGCAUCAACCGGAUCACAGGGGAUGAGUUGAGUCGUUUUAUUGCCGAGAAAAGGUGCCUAACCAGUCUCAAGAUGGAAGGGUGCUGUAAUCUCGGGGGUUUUAUAUUCUCUUCGACUAGUCUCUCUACUCUUUGGCUCUCAGAUCUCCACUCCCUCUCUAAAACGGUUUUCAACUGCCCUAAUUUAAAGGAGGUUUCGUUGGACUUUUCUCGCCAAGAAAAUGACAGCACCGAUCUUACCACUGUUGUGGAAUCUCUCGGAAGAAGCUGCCCUAAGCUUCAGAAUAUCCACAUUGCUUCGGUUUUGCUCUCACACGAUGCUGUGCUGGCACUCUCGGCCGCUAAUUUAAGGGCAUUGCGUAUGCUUUCACUUGUUCUGGGAUUGGAGAUAACCGAUGCAUCUGUGGCAGCUAUUGCUUCGAGUUUUCCAAAGCUUGAAUUGCUUGAUCUUAGUGGGUCUAGCAUCAGUGACAGUGGCAUUGGAAUGAUAUGCAAUGUCUUCCCCGAGACAUUAUCGAAACUUCUACUUGCUCUUUGCCCUAACAUUACAUCGAGUGGCAUUCAAUUUGCUGCUGCUCAGCUUCCACGCCUGGAACUUAUGGACUGUGGAAUGACAAUUUGUGAUGCCGAUUCUGAAAAAUUCGAGGACAACGACUCUGAAUUACAGAGAACACCAAAUAGCAAGAUGCACCUUAUUUACCAAAAGUUAAUUAUCAAGCAUAGCCGCUUGAAGAAGCUAAGCUUAUGGGGUUGCUCUGGCUUGGAUGCAUUAUAUUUGAACUGUCCUCAUCUUCAUGACUUGAACCUCAACUCUUGCAGAAAUUCUGCAUCGCAGGUACUUUUCUUACAUUCAUUAGAAGCACGCUCGUUUGUAAAAUAUCAUAUAUUCUAACAUUUCGACUGCAUUUGACAAUCAGAGAGACUGGUACUUCAGUGCCCUAACCUAGAAAGUGUGCACGCAUCAGAUUGCGAUGACAUCCUUGUCAAAACCAUCGAGACUCAGGUGUACAAUGAUUAUUCUGCCAUAGAAAAUCAGUUCAAUUCCAAACGUUUCCCCGACGGCUCCAAAAGAGUGCGCGUUCCAUACUUCUGCAGCCCUCAGCCAUCGGAUGACGAGAAGAAAUGGAGAAGGCCUAUGAAACGACAAUGUGCAGUGAUCAUGGACUCGUGAAAACACGGGCGUUUCACUCGAGCAUAUCGAAGGCUUGGAGUAUGUAUUUGUUUAGAGGCAUAUUGCCCCUGUAACUGUUCCCUGUUAUAAUUCUAGUUUGUAGAAAAAAUAUUUCUUUGAUUGUGACAUUAAUUAAUUAGGAGGAUGACUACAUUUUUUAACUCCAUUUUAAAUAAAUAAAAAUGAACUGUCCUCUUCCCAUGUAACCUCGAUUAUUGAUUUCGUGUCGAGUGACUUGGAUUCGUCGUUUGGAGAUUUAAUAUAUUGUAAACCAUUGUAAUAUGGGUGAACUUGUAAACUUAUUUGAAGUUUUAUUUGAGUUGGAUAUGAAUUAUAAAGU